AGCAGCCGCGGUAAUUCCAGCUCCAAUAGCGUAUAUUAAAGUUGUUGCAGUUAAAAAGCUCGUAGUUGAAUUUCGGGAUUAGUAGUCUGGUCGUGCCACUGGUAUGUACUGGUCUUACUGAUUUCUCCUUCCUGAAGAACUGUAAUGUCAUUAAUUUGGUGUUGCGGGGAAUCUGGACUGUUACUUUGAAAAAAUUAGAGUGUUUAAAGCAGGCUAACGCUUGAAUACAUUAGCAUGGAAUAAUGAAAUAGGACGUUCGAUCCUAUUUUGUUGGUUUCUAGGAUUGACGUAAUGAUUAAUAGGGAUAGUUGGGGGCAUUAGUAUUCAAUUGUCAGAGGUGAAAUUCUUGGAUUUAUUGAAGGCUAACUACUGCGAAAGCAUUUGCCAAGGAUGUUUUCAUUAAUCAAGAACGAAAGUUAGGGGAUCGAAGACGAUCAGAUACCGUCGUAGUCUUAACCAUAAACUAUGCCGACUAGGGAUCGGAUGAUGUUAAUUUUAUAAUGACUCAUUCGGCGCCUUAAC
rnacentral:rRNA from 1 species